UACACACCGCCCGUCACACCAUGGGAGUUGGUUUUGCCUGAAGACGGUGUGCUAACCGCAAGGAGGCAGCCGGCCACGGUAGGGUCAGCGAAAGGGGUGAAGUCGUAACAAGGUAACCA
rnacentral:rRNA from 1 species